AACGAACGCUGGCGGCAGGCCUAACACAUGCAAGUCGAGCGAACCCUUCGGGGUUAGCGGCGGACGGGUUAGUAACGCGUGGGAAUAUGCCCAAAGGUACGGAAUAGCCUCGGGAAACUGAGAGUAAUACCGUAUGUGCCCUUCGGGGGAAAGAUUUAUCGCCUUUGGAUUAGCCCGCGUUGGAUUAGGUAGUUGGUGGGGUAAUGGCCUACCAAGCCGACGAUCCAUAGCUGGUUUGAGAGGAUGAUCAGCAACACUGGGACUGAGACACGGCCCAGACUCCUACGGGAGGCAGCAGUGGGGAAUCUUAGACAAUGGGGGAAACCCUGAUCUAGCCAUGCCGCGUGGACGAUGAAGGCCUUAGGGUUGUAAAGUCCUUUCAGCUGGGAAGAUAAUGACGGUACCAGCAGAAGAAGCCCCGGCUAACUCCGUG
rnacentral:rRNA from 1 species